rnacentral:rRNA from 1 species
AUGUGUGUGCCGAAGAAGAAAGGGCGCUUGUGAUUUAGAGACCCCUACAGUUUUAACCUUGCUAUGUUAGCAAAACAGUGUCGGCGACCUAUCCAGAACCUAGACUCCUUAUGUGCAUGUGUGUUGAGUGCAAAGUAUUAUCCCGACAGGGACAUAUUGAAGGUUGGAUCGAAGAAAGGAUCUUCCUAUACAUUGCAAAGUAUCAUAGCAGGCAUCCAAACCUUUCAAAGGGGUUACAUUUGGCGCGUGUUGGAUCUGUUGGGGAACGUAGUAAUUUCAAAAAAAUUCCUACGCACACGCAAGAUCAUGGUGAUGCAUAGCAACAGGAGGGGAGAGUGUUGUCUACGUACCCUCGUAGACCGACAGCGGAAGCGUUAUGACAACGCGGUUGAUGUAGUCGUACGUCUUCACGGCCCGACCGAUCAAGCACCGAAACUAUGGCACCUCCGAGUUCUAGCACACGUUCAGCUUGAUGACGAUCCUCGGACUCCGAUCCAGCAAAGUGUCGAGGAUGAGUUCCGUCAGCAUGAUGGCGUGGUGACGAUCUUGAUGUUCUACCGUCGCAGGGCUUCGCCUAAGCACCGCUACAAUAUUAUCGAGGAUUAUGGUGGAGGGGGGGCACCGCACACGGCUAAGAGAACGAUCACGAAGAUCAACUUGUGUGUCUAUGGGGUGCCCCUUGGCCACGUAUGUAAAGGAGUGGAGGAGGGGGGAGAGGGCCGGCCCCUAUGGCGCGCCCUGGAGGAGUCCUACUCCCACCGGGAGUAG